UUUACCGGAGUACUAUGAAUAUUAAAAAUUUAAAACUCAAAGAACUUGGCGGUGUUUUAGACCACUCAGGGGAACCUGUCUCAUAAUCGAUAAUCCACGUUGUACCUGACCUUUUUUUGUAUUCAGUUUGUAUACCGUUGUCGUCAGGUAACUUUUUAGAAAUUAGAAGUUAGCAGCAGAAAUAAAAAUAAUUUAAUACGUCAAAUCAAGGUGCAGCUAAUGAAAAGGGGAGGAUGGGUUACAAUUAUAUAAUUUAUAAUAACGGGUAAGUAUAUGGAGUAUAUAUUAAUUAUAAGGCGGACUUGAAAGUAAAUUAGGUUAUAUAAAUAACUUGAAUGAGGCUCUGAAACGUGU
rnacentral:rRNA from 1 species